GCCUGGCUGGCGCUUGGUAGAGCAUGAGACUCUUGAUCUUGGGUUCAUGAGUUCAAGCCUCAUGUUGGGCG
rnacentral:tRNA from 1 species